AUGGCUGUCGUCAGCUCGUGUCGUGAGAUGUUGGGUUAAGUCCCGCAACGAGCGCAACCCUUGUCCUUAGUUGCCAUCAUUAAGUUGGGAACUCUAAGGAGACCGCCGGUGACAAACCGGAGGAAGGUGGGGAUGACGUCAAGUCAUCAUGGCCUUUAUGGCCAGGGCUACACACGUGCUACAAUGGCAGGUACAGAGGGAAGCCAACGCGCGAGCGGGAGCUAAUCCCAGAAAGCCUGUCGUAGUCCGGAUCGGAGUCUGCAACUCGACUCUGUGAAGUUGGAAUCGCUAGUAAUCGCAGAUCAGCAUUGCUGCGGUGAAUACGUUCCCGGGUCUUGUACACACCGCCCGUCACACCAUGGGAGUUUACUGCACCAGAAGCAGGUAGCCUAACCGCAAGGAUGGCGCCUACCACGGUGUGGUCGAUGACUGGGGUGAAGUCGUAACAAGGUAGCCGUACGGGAACGUGCGGCUGGAUCACCUCCUUUAAGAGAAACGCGUUCAACGGAAGAAGUUGGCGCGAGUUUCCAUCACAAGUUACCUGCCUAAUAGCCUUUGAUAGGUAGCGGCCUUUUAAGCUCCCUGGAAUGCGCCCAAUUAAUUGGAUAGGCUGCAGCACCGCGUUGGGUCUGUAGCUCAGUUAGUUAGAGCGCACCCCUGAUAAGGGUGAGGUCGGGGGUGCAACUCCUCCCAGACCCACCAACCAAUGUCGGGGCCAUAGCUCAGCUGGGAGAGCGCCUGCUUUGCAAGCAGGAGGUCACCGGUUCGAUCCCGGUUGGCUCCACCAGCUCCAGUGCCGAUACCUGCCAGAGGAAAAGUUUGAGUUGCACGGCCUAUGAGACCGUGUCGCUCUUUAACAAUCCGGAAGAUCCUUUUGAUAGACGCAAUUUUCAAGCGAGAUUGUUUGUUUUAGAAAUCUCUUGAGAAUGUCGCGUUCGCAUAAAUGUGAGAAAUCAGCUCCAUAUCCCCAAACUCCUUGGGGUUAUAUGGUCAAGUGAAUAAGCGCAUAUGGUGGAUGCCUAGGCGGUAGAAGGCGAUGAAGGACGUGGUAGCCUGCGAUAAGCGUCGGGGAGCUGGCAAACAAGCUUCGAUCCGGCGAUGUCCGAAUGGGGAAACCCGG
rnacentral:sRNA from 1 species